rnacentral:rRNA from 1 species
GUCCUACGGGAGGCAGCAGUGGGGGAUAUUGGACAAUGGGGGAAACCCUGAUCCAGCGACGCCGCGUGAGUGAAGAAGUAUUUCGGUAUGUAAAGCUCUAUCAGCAGGGAAGAAGAUGACGGUACCUGAUUAAGAAGCCCCGGCUAACUACGUGCCAGCAGCCGCGGUAAUACGUAGGGGGCAAGCGUUAUCCGGAUUUACUGGGUGUAAAGGGAGCGCAGACGGCAGUGCAAGUCUGGAGUGAAAGCCCGGGGCCCAACCCCGGAACUGCUCUGGAAACUGUGGGGCUAGAGUACUGGAGGGGG